AACUAUAUAAUAACUAUACUCUAAAAUGAAGAAGCCAUAUUGAACAGUUUGGUGCAUUACCUCCUUAUUGUUAGAAAGCAUGGUUAACUGUAAAGUAACCGAACAUAUUUUAUGUAGCUUUCCUUUUUUUGAUACUGGGCCAAUCAGCAUGCAAAUAUAUAACAGCCAUUAAGGAAAAUUAAUUUUGUCCAGGGAACCGAGUUAAGUAUGGCGGUUGCUUAUCCGAGCAAGACCUACCUAAACUCGCAUGUUUUUAUAGUUAUUGAUAGUAAGAACGAGGUCUAUUGAAACGUAGAGCUGUAGACUUCCUUAACAACCAGAUUUGAUCCGCAAGAUUCAUCAUAUUUGAUCUUCCAAGAAUUGGUAGAUAAAGGUGACAUAGAUAAGCAAGUAGAAAUGAUAUAGAAAAAUGAGGUAUACUAGACUAGACUAGACAAAAUAGUGGAAAGAAAAGACGAGGAUGCAUACUACGCGAGCCCCUUCAACGACUUGUUACUUUAGAGUCUGAUACAUUCGCUUGUAGUUACUCAUCACUGAGACAAUUCUAUUGAAAUGUAAGCGUUUUUCAUUCAAACUUUCUUAUUUAUCAAACAAGCCCUUAAAACGGUACCAAAUUUUGAAGAGGUUGCCUUAAAAAGACUGUGGUGCUGCAAGUUUUCAAUAAGUAGAUGCAGCUUUCACGCUAAGCAAAUUCGUAACAAGAACUCUUGUAGAGUCUGAUACAUUCGCUUGUAGUUACUCAUCACUGAGACAAUUCUAUUGAAAAGUAAGCGUUUUUCAUUCAAACUUUCUUAUUUAUCAAACAAGUCCUUUAAAACGGUACCAAAUUUUGAAGAGGUUGCCUUAAAAAGACAUUGGUGCUGCAAGUUUUCAAUAAGUAGAUGCAGCUUUCACGCUAAACAAAUUCGUAACAAGAACUCUUGCCCUAAAUUGCGAAAUACCCAGUGAUUACUGAGUAUUUCACAAUUUAGUGAUCAGUGAUUUCCAGCUGUAUUUGGCGAGAUGACCACGAUAAUUCGUUACGGGUUCAGGUAAUCAUACGCACGAUGGUCACUCAGCGUUACCAGUGUUUGAAGAGAACCCUUAACUAUUUAUAAAUAAAAUCAAGGUAUUCUUUAAAGCGUUGAUUUACAUUGUCAGAGUCAUUUUUCUACGAGCUUGAUGUUAAAAUGAUUCAAACAGACAAUAUCGCUAUUUUUAAAACAGUAAUUUUUCUCAUAUUUGUCGUUUCUGCUGCUUGUGAGCAAACAUGCAACGGGCUGGCUGGCCUUUGUCAAUUGAGACUAAACCAAGUAACUUUGGCAGGUACACACAAUUCUGGUGCCGGGUUCGAUGGACAUCUUUGGUACGGCAGUGGAGUUAAGGCCCUAAGUUGCUUCUACCGUAACCAAGGGGCCAGUAUAACCGGGCAGUUGGACUUAGGAAUCAGGUACUUUGACAUCGAUGCGUGUUGGAAUAGCUACGAAAAUGCUGCCUAUACUUGCCACAUGGCAGCAUAUGGUGGCUCAAUCGCGAAAAUGCUCGAUCAAGUCGAUGCAUGGAUGAAUAAGAAUAGAAAGGAAGUUGUCGUUCUUCAUUUCAAUAGAGACUACGAUAAAUCAGAGCAACCUGGAAAAAUCGGAAAAGACAUCAUAAACAAAAUAAAAGCUCGAUGGGAGCCAACUCAGCAGCGGCUAAGCUCGAAGGAACUUUCUGUCCAAACGAAUUACUACGCAACUCUUGGUAGAGCAGUCACAAAAAAUCAAAGAAUCUACAUUAUCAUGCAUACUGAACUAUCAAAAUCAGCUACAGAGCCAUGGCUUUUCUGGCAACAUUACGUGGGGUACACAUGGCAUUCAAUGUCCUUCAUAGCGUCGAGUCGCUGCAUAAAUCUUGCUGAUAAAGUUGCUGAGAACUGCUUCACAGAGGCAAAAAAAGGAAGAUCACUUAUAAGGCUUGAUCUCUACCUGACAUAUGGCUUGUGUAUUCAUGAUCUUGCAUCGUGGUGCAAUACCAGAAUCAGCCCUGCAGCCAAAACAUGCCGAAAAAAUGCAAGACAAUUCAAUAAAACCGUCAAUUUCAUCGUCAUUGAUUACGCUGAUUCAGAGGCAGGCAAAAAAGUAAAAGAUAUCGCAAAGAAUGAAAAUUUGAAUAACAUAAAAUACUAUACAAAAUAGAUAGCUGUUUUGCUGUUUUGUCAUACUGUUGUUGUUGACAAACUCUAUUUCAGUAUAAGCCAAUUUCUGUUUCAACUUUGUGAAUCUUCUUGGAAAGGUGAAUUUAUCUGCAUUUUGUUGAUCGUUAAAAGAGCUAUCCAGCUUCUAAUUUAAUCCUUCCAGACCAGAAUAAAAAGGAAACUAAGCAGUUCAUGCUUCUAAAUACGAGUGAAUGCGUUUUAUAACUACCAAGAAUUCUCAUAGCUCAGUGGAUUAAAGGGGGGGCAACUAGGGGCAGUUGCCCCUCCCUCAAUGAGUUGAAGCAAAUCUGGCGCCCCUUUUUUGGAAAUUUUGCGCCCCUUUUUUGGAAAUGUUGCGCCCCUUUUGAAGAAUGAGAAUCAGGUGAAAUAGUUUCUGAGACCGAUAGGCUAAUAUGCUUCAAGGAUUGCCUCAAAGUUAUGUUAUUUAUUCUGAAAAUAGAUCUGAAAUUGUUGUAUACAGCGUACUCUCGUCACAAAUUUUUGAAAAUUUUUCAGCGCCCCUACUAUCGACUGCCCUCCUUCAAAUUGGCUCUGGAUCCGCCCCUGUCAUAGCUUGCAUCAUCUGAAAAUCGUUUUUGGUUGAAAAUGAUUUACUUUUUUGAAAAAGUCAGCUGAUCGAAAAUGAAAAAAAGUUAAUGUUGUUGUGUUGUCUUGUUGAUGUUGUUGAAGUUGUGUUUAAUUGAUGUUUAAAGACACUCAAACGAUUGCAAAUGACCUUAAAUGAUGUGAAAUACAGAAAUACGGACGGAUAGCUCUCUAUACAAUCGCAAUAGGCAUUCAAAGAACAGAAAACAAUACCCAGCAGUGUACUCCAACAAAGGGCAAAAAACCGAUAGAUUUCAUCAAAGGGAGCAGAUCUGGUCUUAGUGUAUCUGAUUUGGUUCAUCAGUUCUGGUGUGAAC